rnacentral:rRNA from 1 species
AGCGAACGCUGGCGGCAGGCUUAACACAUGCAAGUCGAGCGGGCGUAGCAAUACGUCAGCGGCAGACGGGUGAGUAACGCGUGGGAACGUACCUUUUGGUUCGGAACAACACAGGGAAACUUGUGCUAAUACCGGAUAAGCCCUUACGGGGAAAGAUUUAUCGCCGAAAGAUCGGCCCGCGUCUGAUUAGCUAGUUGGUGAGGUAACGGCUCACCAAGGCGACGAUCAGUAGCUGGUCUGAGAGGAUGAUCAGCCACAUUGGGACUGAGA